UCACGACUUGGUUAGGCAAUGUGCAGCUUUAGCUGGUUGAAUCCGGGUCAAAUUGUAAAUGCUAUUUGGUCCCCUUCAACCAGCUGUGGUUGACAUUGCGAGCAACGAAACCGGUGA
rnacentral:pre_miRNA from 15 species